CCUGGUUGAUCCUGCCAGUAUUCAUAUGCUUGUCUCAAAGAUUAAGCUAUGCAUGUGUAAGUAUGAACAAAUUCAGAAUGUGAAACUGGGAACGGCUUAUUAAAUCUGUUAUAGUUUGUUUGAUAUUAUCUACUACUUGGAUAACCGUAGUAAUUCUAGAGGUAAUACAUGAAACAAACCCAAACUUCUCAAAGGGAUGCAUUUAACAGAUAAAAGGUCUACAUGGGCUCUGCCUAUUGCUGCGAUGAUUCAUGAUAACUUGAUGGAUCGCACGACCAUCAUGCCGGCGACGCAUCAUUCAAAUUUCCAUCCUAUCAAGUUUCGAUGAUAGGUUAGUGGCCUACCAUGGUGGUGACGGGUGAUGGAAAAUUAAGGUUUGAUUUCGGAGAGGGAGCCUGAGAAAUGGCUAAAACAUCUAAGGAAGGCAGCAGGCGCGCAAAUUACCCAAUCCUGACAUGGGGAGGUAGUGACAAUAAAUAACAAUACCGGGCUCAAUGAGUCUGGUAAUUGGAAUGAGUACAAUCUAAAUCCCUUAAUGAGGAUCCAUUGGAGGGAAAGUCUGGUGCCAGCAGCCGUGGUAAUUCCAGCACCAAUAACGUAUAUUUAAGUUGUUUCAGUCAUAAAGCUCAAAGUUGGACUUUGGGAUUGGCCGGCCGGUCUGCCUAUGGUGUGCAUCGGUCGUCUCGUCCCUUCUGUCGGCGAUACGCUCGUGGCCUUAACUGGUCGGGUCGUGCCUUCAAUGCUAUUACUUUGAAGAAAUUAGAGUGCUUAAAGCAAGACGACGCUCUGUAUACAUUAGGAUGGGAUACCAUUAUAGGGUUUCGGUCCUAUUACAUUGGCCUUCGGGAUCGGAGUAAUGAUUAACAGGGUCAGUCGGGGGCAUUCGUAUAUCAUAGUCAGAGGUGAAAUUAUUGGAUUUAUGAAAUACGAACAACUGCAAAAUCAUUUUCCAAGGAUGUUUUCAUUAAUCAAGAACAAAAGUUGGGGGCUCGAAGGGGGUCAGAUACAGUCCUACUCUCAACUAAAAAUGAUGCCGACCAGGGAUCGACCGAUGUUGCUUUUAGGACUCCACAGGUACCUUAUGAGAAAUCAAUGUUUUUGGGUUUCGUGGGGAGUAUGGUCGCAAGGAUAAAACUUAAAAGAAUUGACGGAAGGGCACCACCAGGAGUGGAGCCUGUGGCUUAAUUUAACUCAACACGGGGAAACUUACCAGGUCCAGACAUAGUAAGGAUUGAUAGACUGAGAGCUCUUUCUUGAUUCUAUGGGUGGUGGUGCAUGGCCGUUUUUAGUUGGUGGAGCGAUUUGUCUGGUUAAGGGACUACGGCCUUUUAGGCUAUGGAAGUUUAAGGCAAUAACAUGUCUGUGAUGCGAUUAGAUGUUCUGGGAUGCACGCGCGCUACACUGAUAUCUUCAAUGAGUUUAUAGCCUUGGCCGAUAGGUCCGGGUAAUCUUUGAAAUUUCAUUAUGAUGGGGAUAAGAUCAUUUCAAUUAUCGGUCUUCAACAAGGAAUUCCUAGUAAGCGCGAGUCAUCAGCUCGCAAUGACUACGUCCCUGCCUUUUGUACACAUCGCACGUUGCUCCUACUAAUUGAAUGAUCCAAUAAAAUAUUCGGAUCGCGGUGGCGUGGGCGGUUUACUGCAUGCGACAUCGCGAGAAUUCCAUUGAACCUUAUCAUUUAGAGGAAAAGAGAAUUCGCAACAAGGUUUGCGUAGGUGAACCUGCAGAAG
rnacentral:rRNA from 1 species